UGGACUGUGUAGGACCUGAC
rnacentral:snRNA from 1 species